GCAGUAGCCACGGUAAAACGUAGGUGGCAAGCGUUGUCCGGAAUUAUUGGGCGUAAAGGGCUCGCAGGCGGUUUCUUAAGUCUGAUGUGAAAGCCCCCGGCUCAACCGGGGAGGGUCAUUGGAAACUGGGAAACUUGAGUGCAGAAGAGGAGAGUGGAAUUCCACGUGUAGCGGUGAAAUGCGUAGAGAUGUGGAGGAACACCAGUGGCGAAGGCGACUCUCUGGUCUGUAACUGACGCUGAGGAGCGAAAGCGUGGGGAGCGAACAGGAUUAGAGACCCCCGUAGUCCCUGUCUCUUAUAC
rnacentral:rRNA from 1 species